AUCAAGCACCAGUUGCACCAAUCCACCUCCAACAGUUUCACAGAGCUUACUACUCGCCUACUAAAUGAGCCCCAGACACCCUCAAAACAGAGCCAAGUUCAUUCGACUGACCAAGGAAGACCCAGCACAUAUAUUAUACCAGUACACUUCUCUGGAAACCCAAGAUCACCUUCCAUCAUGAUACAAGUCAUGUCUAGACCCAUCGCUGCAACUCCCGUACGGACUCGGGAGAGGCGAAGGUCGAGAGCCGUGUGUCCUCCGGAACUUGACCCUGCCAAGCCACACUGCUUCUUGACACAGAGCGAUGCAGUGCCUUAACCGCUGCGCCACUUGGGAGUGAAAAUGACAUUUGAUUGAACCCAAGAGUCUAUCAGAAAGUGUCUUCAAAUAAACUGAAAUAGCAACAAAAAAAUGGAAAUGGAAUUUUAGCCAACCCCCUGAUUUAACUUAAUUGAAAUUGAAUUGACCCCAAUCCUUGUGUCAACAUAGUUGUACUACCUACCAGUGGUUGACGAACUCUUCAAAAGUUCAAAUUCACAACCAAUGGUGGCAAUAACAUUUGUUUGUCAAGACUGCAUCUUCAGACAUAGCUUGAGGGGUGGAUGUUCUACACUAAUGUGGGCUCUGCACAACAACCUUUGUGGCCACAAAGCACACAAGCCAGGGAUAAUAACAAGUAACAUACGCCCACUCUGUCACCAGCCAUUUUAAAUCACGUCUGGCAAAUUAGGUUGGUUAAAAUUAGCCCUGAAGUUGAAUAUUGAUAAUAGUUUGGUAGUUAUGAGCUAGAAUCCUAUUGGUGCCACUAGAUUAAAGAGCCAAAGCAGUACCACGGGGGUCAGAUCAUAGCUGUGCAAUGAUCUUCUUCAGAUGGGUUGUAUUGAGAGGAGAAGAAUACACAUCAUGAGGGUUAGCAACAUCUCUCCUCAGAAAAUAGUUCACAUCAAAAUGAAAUAGCAACACGGUUGAUAUUUACUAUAUAUAUAUUUACUAUAUAUAUUUACUAUACAUAUUUACUAUAUUUGCUACUUUAUUUUUAAUUAAAAUUAUCAAAAUGAAACAAAAAUAGCUGCUUAGCAAAGAGCUAUUUCUCAAGCAAGAAUUUUGAUAGGACUGUCUGGGAGUGGUCUGAGUGGGGAGGGGAAAACUGAAAACUAGAUGCUAUUGGCAGAGAGGUUUGGAACUCUCUUAUUGGUCUAUUGAUGAUGUCACCAGGAAGGCCAAAACUCCCUCCCACCAAAACAGUCUGAGAUUUCAAGCAGUCUUUUCAAACAGCUCUUACACAAAAAGGGAUUUUUUCCCACAUUUUCACAGUAUUAUUCCAACUUCAUAGGGUGGAAAUAAAUAUAAAACACAGGUAA